rnacentral:rRNA from 1 species
UGGGGAAUAUUGGGCAAUGGGCGCAAGCCUGACCCAGCAACGCCGCGUGAAGGAAGAAGGCUUUCGGGUUGUAAACUUCUUUUCUCAGGGACGAAGCAAGUGACGGUACCUGAGGAAUAAGCCACGGCUAACUACGUGCCAGCAGCCGCGGUAAUACGUAGGUGGCAAGCGUUAUCCGGAUUUACUGGGUGUAAAGGGCGUGUAGGCGGGAUCGCAAGUCAGAUGUGAAAACUGGAGGCUCAACCUCCAGCCUGCAUUUGAAACUGUGGUUCUUGAGUACUGGAGAGGCAGACGGAAUUCCUAGUGUAGCGGUGAAAUGCGUAGAUAUUAGGAGGAACACCAGUGGCGAAGGCGGUCUGCUGGACAGCAACUGACGCUGAGGCGCGAAAGCGUGGGGAGCAAACAGGAUUAGAUACCC